AACGCACAUGGCGCUUCUGGAAAUCGUCCGGGAGCAUGCUUGUUUCAGUGUCUGUGGCAACCCUCCGGCGGUGUAUUCCGUCGGGAGUAUGGGCGUGUCCGAGCUGUCAGCUUGGUGGCCUGAAGCGCACAACCCUGGGCACGCGGCGGAGCAGAGUGUGAACUCGCUGGCUGCGGACGUUGGUUACGGAACCGCCUGGUGUGGUGGUGUGGUGCUUUUACGCAUCGCAACCCGCCCCAAGCGUGUCUGAGCCGUGUCUGUCAGCGCUGAACAGCGGUCCGCACUCUGACCCGUGUCAGUGUGCCGAGAGCAGCCUUGGCUGCUCCGGUCAAUCCCUUUACAUCAACGACCGGACCUGAAAUCAAGUAGGAUGACCCGCUGAAUUUAA
rnacentral:misc_RNA from 1 species